CCGCCGCCGCCGCCGCGCUCCCGGGAGGAGCCGGGAAAGUUGCGGCCGGAGCGAGCGCAACUUUGUGCCGCGCCGCCGCCGCCGCUCCUGCCCCCCGGCGGCGCCCGCGCGGGAGGCGGCGCGGCCCGGCCCUGCUGCAGCCCCGCUCCGGCCCCGCCACCCCCGCGGGCCGCCCGGCGCGGUGCGGUGCGGUGCGGUGCGGUGCGGCGCGGCGCGGGACAGCUGAUCGAUACGGCGCGGCCGGGCUCGCCGCGAGCCGGGCUACAGGUCUCACCAGCCAUCGCUGGCAGCAGCUUUGUCAUUUUCUAAAAAUAAGAAGCUAAAAGUUAUUGUAGAAGAAGGGGCUUUUUUUGUCCCCGGCACAAUAUGCCUUUUGUGAGUUUAAUGCCAUUCUGGGGCUCUCUAUAGCCCCGGACAAUGGGGAACUCCAGGAGGCGGCUGUGCCUCUGCCUUUUUUCUUUCUUGCUUUCUUUUCUCCCCCCCACCCCCUCCUCUUUUUUCCUCUUUUUUUUUUCCUUUUAGGAAAGGAUGCAACAUUCCUCCAGUCCCUGCAGAAUCUGUGGUUUGAUUAAAUAAAUAUUUCUCUAGUGUUACGGUAACAUUUUUCACUUUCAGUUCUGGUCCAUUUGUGAUUGUUAUUUAAAAUCUUUAUUUCCAGCAGCUUAUCGCUUUUCCCUCCCCGAUCCAGCCUUGGCGAAAAAUGUAGAUCGUCGCUGGGAAUGUGGGAUUUGGAAUUUGGGAGGUGAACCAGGAAAGAGACUAUCCGGGAUUCAGGAAUACGCUUUCUUCAUCUUUCUAUAAGAGCCUGUUUUAUUAUUGACACAAAGGCAGCUGAAUUAAUUCAUCUCUUUUUGAAAAUCUAAAGAAGCUUUUGGAAAUGUUUUUUUUUCUUCUUCUUCUUCUUUUUUUUAAUACUAACCCAAAUAAUUAACUUCCUGGUUUGUUUCGUAGCACUGAACACGGAUGCAGUUGCGGUCAGUUUUUCCAUUUGGGAGAACCUUAAUGUAGGUGUAUUUUAUACUGCAAGGUAAUAAACUGCAUGUUUGUUAGUAAAUAUUUUUAAUGAAAUGUAUCAAGCUUUCCAUUUUUCUCAGCAUGGGGGAAGAAGCCAUUUAAAAUUGUGACAAGUCCCUUCAGUGGGAUUGAGGAGGGGGGAUAAAAGCAGAGGAAAGGCUACCAGGAAUUGGGAGCAGCGCUGAAACGGUUGUUACUGGAAGCGUCUUGCGUUUGGAGGAUAUUCACAGGUUGUAAUAAUCGAGGUUUAAUAUGUACCUUAGUUAUCUGAGUAUUUUAAGCGCAGCACUGCUGUGCACUACUGUAACGCGCACGCUGUAUAUGAGUUUGCACAGUCUGCUAAAGGGAGAGACGCAGGUACGCUUGCAGCUCGCCUUAAAAACUGCCCUUAAAAAGCUGCCGUUCCCUGCACAAAACUAUCUGCCCAGCUCUGCUGGCAGAGCAGCCCUAACGCUACCUGCCCUUCCAGGGACAACCAGCAGCCCUGGGCAGGCAGAACCGCGCGGGCUGCUCGCGCUGUCCGUAAAGGUGAACGUAAUCUGCAACUGUUCUUACUAAAUACGAAACGAGCGUGGCUGGAUGGCGAUGGGGAGAGGAGACUAAAGUCACCUUUGCCUUUCAACGCUCGCUGUAACUCGUAGGACGCGCACGCUCUCACCAGGGCGGUAGGUCCCGCGGACCCGUCCGGGAGCGGGUGCCGCCUGCGUACACGCGUUUCGUGGAGUGCAGAAGUGGGGAAGGUGUGGGGAAGGUGACAGGCAGCCCGAACGCCACCGCCGACACUCGGCACCAGGCACCCCGGACGCAGCGCGCGCAAACGCAGAGGGUCGAGCAGGCGCCUUCCUUUUCCCUGCGUUGUGAAUCCUAGUUUUGUGCUGCUGUCCUUUAAUUUCCCAUGACAACAUAUGGAUCCCAUAAACGCAAACAUGCCGGAGCGCAUCUGUCUGGGCAGUUAACACAAACCAAACGUCCCCUUUUCGGCGGCUCCGCUGUCCCCGUGGCUCUGCCGCGCUCCCCUUCGCGGCCGUCCCCGCCGCGCCGGCAUUCUUGUCCGUUCACGCUCCGGCGGCGAUCCGGCGUGCCCGGCGGGGAGGAGGGCGGCCGGCGCGGGGCCGGAGCCCCUCGCCGAGGCAGCCAAGGGUUAAGCGGCCGGGCGAGGGGCGAGCCGGCGCGUCCCCGUCCCCGUCCCCGCUCGCUGGGGGAGCCCGCUCCGCGGUGGGAGGCUCUGCGCCGGGGUCAAGUCCUAGGGCAUGGUCCUUCCCCUUCCGCGAGGGCACGGCCGCGGCGGGAGCCGGGCAGAGCGACGGGGCCGCGCCGAGGGGACGGCGCCGGUUUGCCCCUCGUCCGGACCACGGACGCUGAGGAGGGGAAGAGCUCCCCUUCCCACCGGGGCGCCGAGAGAGGCGGUGGGGUCUGCGCGAGAAAACGGAGACAAACAAGCAGCAACCGCGGGACUGGCCACGUAAACCACGCACGAAGAUCAACGUACAUCUAAGGAAUUAGGGAAUAAUCUGUACAGUAACUGUUAGGAACAGCAUUCAAACAUGUACGGUUCUUGUCCAGAAAAUUUAGUUCCAUUAAGAUUUCUUUGUUCUGGGCAAAAGGACAACCGAGUUGCGAAAAUACAAGAAGGGACUACCCUUGCUUUAAUUAGCGAUCUUGAAACAACCUGAUCUGUAAUGCUAUGGAUGCCUCUUAUUUCUGUAUAUGUACCUCUACAUAUACAUAGACAGGAUUUUUGGUUCAAAUACCUUUUAAUGUGCUCAGUAGAAAGAAGCUCUCAGUACAGUAUCAGAUCUGCAGGAAAAAUUAGACAGAUUUUUCCCAUAGGAAACAUGUUAAAGACAGCUGAAUUAUUAGAUUAACCCUAUUUUUUGUCUUGCAGCGUAGCUGAUACAUUUGUGCAUAGAAACAUGCAGUUUCAUUUAUGCACUAUUUUGAACAGAUGGAACUAAUACCGGUGCUUGAAAGGAGACUUGCCAUUUGUUAGAACGUAUAGAGACUACGAGGAACAACUUGGCUGCAAAACGUUUAACUUUUGGACUGAGCUCCGGAGAAGACGUUGUCACUUUGACGGGCAGCGCGGGUAGGUGCCCGCAGGCCCCCGCCGCCCUGCCAGGACACGGCCCUGCUCCGGAAACGUGACCUGGCUCCUCAGGACGGGGAAGCCGCGUCCCGAGGCACGAGCGGGCCAGAUUUGCAUACGGCCGCGGUGAAAACAGUUGACUACAGUGAAUUUUUAGGGAGCCACAACCGUAUCACGUUUCUCUGCCGUCAAACCGGCUGCAUGCUAUCUCUUCCCGCUUGGGAAUAUGGGGGAAUCGGACAAAACCUUUAAAGUAGAAGAGGUCUAUUGGACCGUCCACUAAAUUGAUGCUACAGACUAAUGUAUGGAUGUGGCAUGCAUAUACUAAGAAAAAAGUUUGAGGUUAUCUUUUUAAAGUCAGGCUUAAAAAAAUCAUUCUGAAGAGAAAUCCUGCUCAGAAAAGAAAAUCUCUGUCAUAUCAUCCAUUUACGUAGCUUUGUGCUUCUUGGAAAUAUGUCUAAAGAAUUAGAACAAAGCGCAGAAGGCCAGAGUCCUUGAAGUAGCUCCAAAUGAUAAAGUCUGCCAUUCAUUUUAAACACAGCAUGCAUUGUGAAAACACAGGUCAAUUUGAAGGCAUUUGUCAGAUUUCCAGUUCCCUCUUCUCCUUUGCAAUGGAAAUUUGCAAUCAAAUCCCUGCACUAGACUUGGGAAGCCUGGCUUUAUCAGUUUUACUGCUGUACUCAAAGCGUUGCUCAGGCCUUAACACAAGAUGACUAGAUGUGUUUUUGAUGGAAACAAACACUUGGAAUACGACUAUGUUUCUUUGCUUUUUUAAAGAAAGGAAGAAAAAGUCUUGGCAUUUAAUUAGGACUCGCUAACCUGAUAAAUAUUGAACAUCAUUUCUUUGUGAGCUGUUGCUUGUGCUCAGAGUACUCCGUGGAUGUAUUCCACAAUCGCACUUGUUUAGUGCCUGUAUCACCUCAUGCCUAUUGUAUUUAUGUUGUCAUCAAUGUCAGAUUUUAAUUAAACAAUUAAAUCAUUGUCACAGUAA